rnacentral:rRNA from 1 species
UACGUAGGAGACGAGCGUUGUCCGGAAUUACUGGGCGUAAAGCGUGCGCAGGCGGCUUGCCAAGUCAGAUGUGAAAGCCCCGGGCUUAACCUGGGAAUGGCGUUUGAAACUGGCAGGCUAGAGUUUGGCAGAGGGGGGUGGAAUUCCACGUGUAGCAGUGAAAUGCGUAGAGAUGUGGAGGAACACCGAUGGCGAAGGCAGCCCCCUGGGCCAAAACUGACGCUCAGGCACGAAAGCGUGGGGAGCAAACAGG